rnacentral:lncRNA from 1 species
GGACUCUUUGGAUUUUGAGCCUCAGGUUAUAACCUAUAAGAUCCCGAAGCCCCCUGGCCUAGCACGCCCGUGACUGCAGAAUGGAGGCCGGGCUGCUAUGGUUCUGCAACUGGAGCACGCUGGGCGUGUGCGCCGCACUCAAACUGCCGCAGAUCUACGCGCAGCUGGCGGCGCGCAGCGCACGAGGGAUCAGCCUCCCUAGUUUACUUUUGGAGCUGGCCGGGUUCCUGGUCUUCCUUCGUUAUCAACAUUACUAUGGGAACCCACUGCUCACCUACCUGGAAUACCCCAUUCUCAUCGUACAAGGUAACUUGUUCUCUAGCUCCCCAGCCUUCCCACCUGCUACCCUGCCCACCUCACAGAGCCUCUUCUUUCAGACAUUGUCCUCCUGCUCUUCGUCUUUCAUUUCAAUGGGAACGUGAAGCAAGCCUUGCCGUACAUGGCUGUAUUUGUGUCUUCUUGGUUCAUCCUCAGCCUGCAGAAAUGGAUCAUCGACUUGGCCAUGAACUUAUGCACAGUCAUUAGUGCAGCCAGUAAGUUUGCCCAGCUCCAGUAUUUGUGGAAGGCACAAGAUUCGGGAGCUGUGAGUGCACUGACAUGGGGCCUCUCCGCCUACACCUGUGCAA